UACGUAGGGUCCAAGCGUUAUCCGGAAUCACUGGGCGUAAAGCGUGCGUAGGCGGCGUGUUAAGUGUGAUGUUAAAUCGUGGGGCUCAACCCUGUCGGUGCAUCGCAUACUGGCAUGCUUGAGGAAGGCAGAGGCAAGUGGAAUUGGCAGUGUAGCAGUGAAAUGCGUAGAGAUUGCCAGGAACACCAAUGGCGAAGGCAGCUUGCUGGGCCUUUUCUGACGCUGAGGUACGAAAGCGUGGGGAGCGAACAGG
rnacentral:rRNA from 1 species